UACGGGGGGGGCAAGCGUUGUUCGGAAUUACUGGGCGUAAAGGGCGCGUAGGCGGUCCGCUAAGUUAGAUGUGAAAACUCUGGGCUCAACCCAGAGCCUGCAUCUAAUACUGACGGGCUAGAGUUCUGGAGGGGGUAGCGGAAUUCCUGGUGUAGCGGUGAAAUGCGUAGAUAUCAGGAGGAACACCGGUGGCGAAGGCGGCAUCCUGGACCAACACUGACACUGAGGAGCGAAAGCCAGGGGAGCAAACGGG
rnacentral:rRNA from 1 species